rnacentral:rRNA from 1 species
GAUACCCUAUUAUUUUAGAUGUGAUUAUUUUUCUAUAAUUAUUAUUAGUUAAGUUCUUUAAAAUUAAACAAUUUGGCGGUAUUUUAGUCUAUUCAGAGGAACCUGUUUUUUAAUCGAUGGUCCACGAUAAGAUUUACUUUAGUUUUAAAUUUAUAUAUCGUCGUUAUUAAUAAUUUUAUGAGAAUUUUAAUUUUUGAGGUUUUUUAUUAUAAGUUAGUUCAGAUCAAGGUGUAGUUUAUGUUGAAGUUAAAAUGGGUUACAUUUCAUUUAUGAUUGGUUCUUUUUUUUAAAUUUUUAGAUAAAUUGGAUUUGAUAGUAAAUUCUUUAUUUAGUGGAGUUGAUUUAGCUCUAAAAUAUGCACAUAUCGCC